AGAGUUUGAUCAUGGCUCAGGAUGAACGCUAGCGGCGCGCUUAAUGCAUGUAAGUCGAGCGAUGAGGCUCCUUCGGGGGCUAUCAGCGGCAGACGGGUGAGUAACACGUGGGUGACCUACCCUCAAGUCAGGGAUAACGAGUGGAAACACUGGCUAAUAUCUGAUGUUCUUGUGUGGUCGCAGGCACAAGGAAAGCUACGGUGCUUGAGGAGGGGCUCGCGGCCCAUCAGCUAGUUGGUGCGGUAACGGCGCACCAAGGCGAAGACGGGUAGGGGGUGUGAGAGCACGGCCCCCCACAAUGGGACUGAGACACGGCCCAUACUCCUACGGGAGGCAGCAGCAGGGAACCUUGCACAAUGGGCGAAAGCCUGAUGCAGCGACGCCGCGUGAGUGAAGACGGCCUUCGGGUUGUAAAACUCUUUUCGAGGGGAUGAGGAAGGACGGUACCCUCGGAAUAAGCGUCGGCUAACUACGUGCCAGCAGCCGCGGUAAGACGUAGGACGCGAGCGUUAUCCGGAUUUACUGGGCGUAAAGCGUCUGUAGGCGGUCGUAUAAGUUGGGCGUGAAAGCUCCGGGCUUAACUCGGAGAGUGCGCACAAGACUGUAGGACUAGAGGACGGCAGAGGAGCGUGGAAUUCCCGGUGUAGCGGUAAAAUGCGCAGAUAUCGGGAGGAACACCAGUGGCGAAGGCGGCGCUCUGGGUCGUCCCUGACGCUGAGAGACGACAGCUAGGGGAGCAAACAGGAUUAGAGACCCUGGUAGUCCUAGCCGUAAACGAUGGAUGCUAGGUGUGGGAGCGAGUAGCUUCUGUGCCGUAGCAAACGCGGUAAGCAUCCCGCCUGGGGAAUACGGCCGCAAGGUUAAAACUCAAAUGAAUUGACGG
rnacentral:rRNA from 1 species